AGUGUAAAAGUUCCCAAUCCGCCAUGCGCGGUGCGUUCGACACUUCGCCGUAAUGGACACAUUUUCGAUAUUGUGUGCGGACGACAUUCUUCCGGCGGCGUGUCAGUGUAUGAUUUCGCCAACCAUGCACGACGCCAGCCGAAUUAUCAGGCCCCAAUGCACGUGAGAAUUAUGUAUUAGAAUUGUAUAAGCCGUACCCAUUACCCAGGCUAAACGAUCAAUUUUCAAUUCACAUAUUUCCGAGUAAGUAUAGUUAAUAUUAGUCUGUUUAUCACGCCGCAGUUUACCGUUGUCGCAAUUAUCAUUAAUUAUGAUUACUGUAUUAACGGCAACGAAAAAAACUUCGGAUCAAACCGUAUACAUAUAUAUAUAUNUUUUUUUUUUUUUUUUUUUUUAUUUUCGGGAAUAACAAAACUGAUCGAUCAAAAACAGCAAUUCGAUGGAAAACAACGGGUAUCUUCCUACCUACACGUAAUAAGGCUCCAGAAUCCAUAGCAUAUUGCAACCAGACUGACAUAACUUCUCUGAAAAUAGAAGUAAAGAAUGUGUCGCAAAAGCUGAUUUUCAUAAAGAAAAAAUUCAGGGACUAUUUUCAUGUAAUGAAUCGAAACGAUUUGUUAUGGGUUUUUUUUUUUCUUUUUGAUUUGGAGCGUAGUGAUGAGGGAUCUAUUGAUUUCACUAUGGCGCGUUUCGUUUUUGUGUGUCUGUGAGCAAUUUUUCUAGCAAAAAUUAAAUGCAGCAUUUUUCUUAAAGGAAAUCCAAUUUAUUUGGUACUUUAAAGAGGUAAUUUUUAGAUUUUCCAAUGGGGUUUUCAAAAGCAUGGGCAAAACCGGAAAAAAUCAAGUAUGAAAAAUGAUAAAUUUACUGCGACACGAUUGCUUUAUUAAACAUUUUUACAGCUUAGGUUUUUUACCAGAAAUAUUGGUCCAAUGAAAAACACCAAG